rnacentral:rRNA from 1 species
UACGGGGGGGGCAAGCGUCGUUCGGAAUUACUGGGCGUAAAGGGCUCGUAGGCGGCCAACUAAGUCAUACGUGAAAUCCCUCGGCUUAACCGGGGAACUGCGUCUGAUACUGGAUGGCUUGAGUUCGGGAGAGGGAUGCGGAAUUCCAGGUGUAGCGGUGAAAUGCGUAGAUAUCUGGAGGAACACCGGUGGCGAAGGCGGCAUCCUGGACCGAUACUGACGCUGAGGAGCGAAAGCCAGGGGAGCAAACGGG